ACUCCUGAGUCAUCGCACGGACCGCGUCAGGGGUGAAGUCUCCCCAGCCAUGACCUCCACCGGUCAGGAUUCCACCACACCCAAGGAGCGAAGGAAUAGGCACAAUCCCCACUCCCCCACCCACGACUCCAGCAUCACCUCGAAGCGAGGUGUUAAAAAGGGUGCCAUACUCCGCUCCAGCCCCAGUCUAGCGGAGGUAAAGAAGAAAGGCAGAAUGAAGAAGCUUAGCCAAACAGCCGAGCAAGACCUAAUCAUGGGGCUACAAGGGCUGAAUCUGAACCUGGAGGCCAGGACACUGUCUGGCACUGGCUUGGUGUUCGAUGAACAGCUAAAUGAAUUCCACUGCCUCUGGGAUGACAGCUUCCCGGAACGCCCAGCACGGCUCCAUGCCAUCAAGGAGCAACUGAUCCAGGAGGGCCUCCUGGACCGCUGCGUGUCCUUUCAGGCCCGAUUCGCCAAAAAGGAGGAGCUGAUGUUGGUUCACAGCCUAGAAUAUAUUGAUCUGAUGGAAACGACCCAGUACAUGAACGAGGAGGAGCUCCACGUCCUAGCAGAUACCUAUGAUUCAGUUUAUCUGCAUCCGAACUCAUACACCUGUGCCUGCCUGGCCUCAGGCUCUGUCCUCAGGCUGGUGGAUGCAGUCCUGGAGGCUGAGAUCCGGAAUGGCAUGGCCAUCAUCAGGCCUCCUGGACACCACGCCCAGCACAGUCUCAUGGAUGGAUAUUGCAUGUUCAACCACGUGGCCGUGGCUGCCCGUUACGCUCAACAGAAGCAUGAUAUUCAGAGGGUCCUUAUCGUGGAUUGGGAUGUGCACCAUGGUCAGGGAAUACAGUUCGCCUUUGACCAAGAUCCUAGUGUCCUCUAUUUCUCCAUCCACCGCUAUGAGCAGGGUCGGUUCUGGCCCCAUCUUAAGGCCUCUAAUUGGUCCACCACGGGUUUAGGCCAAGGCCAGGGAUACACCAUCAACGUGCCUUGGAACCAGGUGGGGAUGCAAGAUGCUGACUACAUCGCCGCUUUCCUUCACGUCCUCCUGCCAGUUGCAUUUGAGUUCCAGCCCCAGCUGGUCCUGGUAGCCGCUGGAUUUGAUGCCCUCCAAGGGGACCCCAAGGGUGAGAUGGCCGCCACUCCAGCAGGGUUCGCCCAGCUCACCCAUCUGCUCAUGGGUCUGGCAGAAGGCAAGCUGAUCCUCUCACUGGAGGGUGGCUAUAAUCUCCGCUCUCUGGCUGAAGGUGUCAGCGCCUCCCUCCACACCCUUCUGGGUGACCCUUGUCCUGUGUUAGAGUCUCCUGGUGCUCCCUGCCCAAGUGCCCAGGCAUCACUCUCCUGUACUCUGGAAGCCCUGGAACCCUUCUGGGAGAGCCUUGUGAGAUCAGUUGAGAGCCUGGAAGAAAAGGACACUGUGGAGAAGGAUGAUGUGGAAGAGGAGGAAGAGAGACUGCCACAGUCCCCUGAGCUCUCCGUUCCGAUAUGGCCGGUGCUGCAGGCUCGCACGGGGUUGGUCUAUGACCAGCAGAUGAUGGACCACCACAACUUGUGGGAUAACUACCACCCUGAGAUGCCCCAGCGGAUCCACUUUAUCAUGCAUCACCUGGAUGAACUGGGCCUUGCCAAGCGCUGCCACUCCCUGCCCGCAAGGCCCGCUACAGAUGCUGAGCUGCUCACCUGCCACAGUGCUGAGCACUUGGAACGUCUACGGGCCACGGAGAAGAUGAAGACCCGGGAGCUGCGCCGGGAGGGUGCCAACUAUGACUCCAUCUACAUCUGCUCCAGCACUUUUGCCUGCGCACAGCUGGCUGCAGGGGCCGCCUGUCGCCUGGUGGAGGCAGUACUGGCAGGAGAGGUUUUGAAUGGCGUUGCUGUAGUGCGACCUCCUGGCCACCAUGCAGAGCCGGAUGCAGCUUGUGGUUUCUGUUUUUUUAAUUCUGUGGCUGUGGCUGCUCGCCAUGCCCAGGCCAUCAGUGGGCAUGCGCUGCGGAUCCUGAUCGUGGACUGGGACAUCCAUCAUGGUAAUGGAACUCAGCACAUAUUUGAGGAGGACCCCAGUGUGCUGUACAUUUCCCUGCACCGCUAUGAUCAUGGUACCUUCUUUCCCAUGGGGAACGAGGGUGCCUGUACCCGGAUAGGUAAAGCUACAGGCACAGGAUUCACUGUCAAUGUGGCCUGGAAUGGACCCCACAUGGGUGAUGCUGACUACCUGGCUGCCUGGCACCGUCUGGUGCUUCCUAUUGCUUACGAGUUUAACCCAGAACUGGUGCUGGUCUCAGCUGGCUUCGACGCUGCUCGGGGGGAUCCUCUGGGAGGCUGCCAGGUGUCGCCUGAGGGCUAUGCCCACCUCACCCACCAGCUGAUGGGCUUGGCCAAUGGCCAUAUCAUCCUAAUCCUAGAGGGUGGUUAUAACCUGACAUCCAUCUCAGAGUCCAUGGCUGCCUGCACUCGCUCCCUCCUUGGGGAUCCACUGCCCCUGCUCACCCGGCUGCGGCCCCCACUAUCUGGAGCCCAGGCUUCCAUCACUAAAACCAUCCAAGUCCAUCGAAGAUACUGGCGCAGUUUGCGGGUCAUGAAGCGCAAAAACAAAGAGGAACUCUCCAGUUCUAAGUUGAUCACCAAGAAGCCAUCCCAACCAGCCAGUUCUGGGUUAGCCAAUGUGACGACCACAGUGGAAGGGAACAUCCUGGAGGCAGGCAUGGGACAGGCCGCCUCAGAAGCAUCUGUGAAAGAGUCCACUCCAGAUCAGACUGAGUCAGCGAGAGCUCCAGUAGAACUUACUCAGAGCCAGUCCUCAGACACAGCCACACAAGGAGCUGCACUGGACCAGACCAUCUCAGAGGGGGCCACAGGGGGAGCUGAACUGAUCCAAAACCCUCCAGCCUCAUGCAUCAACAACAGGAUUCCUCCUGCCUUACCCGUGCAAGGAGCCACAGCCCAGACAUCCCCUAGUAAGCUGAUGACAAACCUCAGAAUACUGGACCUAGAUAGCACGACUCAGGAGCCCUCAGAAGAGGAAGGACUACUAGGAGAGGCAGCUGGAGGUCAGGACACAAAUGAGUCAGUGCCAGUGCAGGUCUUUGGAGAUCAUGCUGACACUGACGAGGUCAUGUUUUAUGCGGUGAGACCACUGCUUUGGUGUCCUCAUUUGGCGGCAGUAUGCCCCAUACCUGAGACAGGACUAAAUGUGACCCAACCUUGUCAGGACUGUGGAACACUCCAGGAGAACUGGGUGUGUCUGUCUUGCUAUCAGAUCUACUGCGGUCGUUACAUCAAUGCUCAUAUGCUCCAGCACCAUGAAGGUUCAGGACACCCACUAGUACUCAGCUAUGCCGACCUGUCUGCCUGGUGUUACCACUGUCAAGCCUAUGUCCACCACAAGGAUCUCCUAGCAGUGAAGAACAUCGCCCACCAGAACAAGUUUGGGGAAGACAUACCCCAUUCAGACUAAAUCCCAGGAUGUGCUCCUUUACCUUCAGAGUCCCAAGAUAGACCAGCCUUAGUUCAUCCCAUCCUGAAGACCCUUUCCAACUCCCCCAGGGUGCUGAUUUAAGUGACCGGAUGCAACUCUCUCCCAUGCUACCAAAACGCCUGCUUGAGGCAGCGCAAGCUCCCAGGCCUCAGAGAGGCCCUCACAAAACAUUUUGCAAAGACGGGACACUGAGGUCAAAAAUGUGACAACCGCCCCAUACACUAAACACACAAAAUCACGUCCCAGGUGGGGGCAAGGUAAAGAGGUACAGCAGGAUGCACGAGGUACACAGGGUAGUCAGCGCUUACAGCACACCUCAAGAAUACCUCAGGGCGCACUCACCUAGGAGCGCUGACAAGGGUGCGCCAGCAGAGGGGCCUGAGGGCAGCCUGAUGCGCAUGUGUACUCCCAUCUUCCCCUUCCCCAUCCCGUCACUGGGACCUGAGGGAGCAUCUCUGUCAGAGCGGCGGUUGGGGUCGCCACCGGCCUUCCUGGAACUGAGGUGAGCUGGGGCACCAGACCUCCCCCUGCGCCCCGCCCCCACACCGAUCUGGGCGGUCCUUCUACUUAAGGCUGUGGGGGUGUGGCCGAGGUCAGGUGUGAGGGCAGUUUCCCCUGUUUGCCUCCUCUCCUCAGAGACCAGCAACCUCCAGCCGCCUUUGUGAGGACGUCCCCUACGGCCUGCAUUGCUGCCCUGGCUCCUGGCUGGCCCCCUCUCCUCGGCCCAACCUCAUGAUCUGAUCUCUCCGUUUCUGCCCCCAAUCGGGGUGGGGGGACCACCAGAGCUCCGUCUUCUAUCAGGUCCCCCUUCCUGGCGGGAGAGCACAUUCCACAGCUCUUUUCAGGGAUCCUCUCAGGGCUGAGGCCCCACAGCUGGAUCUCCACCUGGGACCUUCCCCCCUGCCCCAACUCUGACGCUGGGAUCCCAAACGCCACAGAAUUCCUCCAUCCCGCCUAGCUGCCACUGCCCUGGGGCUUCCGGAGAGACUUGGGGCCUCAACCAUUAUGAUGCAUAUCCUGAGGCCACACACCAAACCAAGAUCGGGGAUGUGUAUUGAAAGGGUUAAUGGUGACAUUCUAUUAAUAGUGGACGCUAAUUGAGCA